rnacentral:misc_RNA from 1 species
GAUGAAGAACGUAGCGAAAUGCGAUAAGUAGUGUGAAUUGCAGAAUUCAGUGAAUCAUCGAAUCUUUGAACGCACAUUGCGCCCCUUGGUAUUCCAUGGGGCAUGCCUGUUCGAGCGUCAUUUGUACCCUCAAGCUUUGCUUGGUGUUGGGCGUCUUGUCGUAUUACGACUCGCCUUAAAUACAUUGGCAGCCGGCACUUUGGCAUAGGAGCGCAGCACAUUUUGCGAUCGUAGCCCGUUGUACUGGCGUCCAUCAAGAACAUUUACCACGUUUGACCUCGGAUCAGGUAGGGAUACCCGCUGAACUUAAGCAUAUCAAUAAGCGGAGGA